rnacentral:misc_RNA from 1 species
GCAAUUUCUUGAUCUUCCGACGGAAGGAAUAGUUUACUUGAAUUCACUGUCUACAAUAUCUAAGCUUUCAUAGUAAUACGGAAAGAAUGAAUAACAAGAAACCAAGUAGAGCAUGGUUUUUCUCCAACUCCAAGCUAUUUUUGGUGUUUGCCCUAUUAUAGGAUUUCUCCAGAGGGAAUGCUCCUACGUAAUUAUGGUACAAUUUACAUUCAUUUCCAUCGUUAAACAUUUCAACUACCACGCCGAAAAGAAAAACAAGGCAAGAAAAUACCUUUUUAUCUCCUGAACUUACCAAAAGGUAUACCUGCUUGUUUUCUGAUGAUUAAUCUAUUAGAUGGCAACUCUGGGUUUUCAACCUCCAUGAGGCUACAAGAUUAUGCAUCUAAAAGGUUAUGGAUCCAUGCCAAUUCAAAUUCACACUCAAUUUCAUUUCCUCUAAGUAAUAGAUAAGCACACAUAUCCUUCUCCCCAAUCAAAAUAGCAACUUGGAAGGAAUUUAUGCACUAAUAGCAAAACCAUGGUAGAAUCAAAUUCACUCUUUCUAUUAUCUGCAAAUUGAAAAACCCUUGGACAUCGAA